rnacentral:rRNA from 1 species
ACUCAAAGGAAUUGACGGGGGCCCGCACAAGCGGUGGAACAUGUGGUUUAAUUCGAUGCUACGCGAAAAACCUCACCAGGGCUUGACAUACAGGAAGUAGUGAAGUGAAAGCGGAACCACCCGUUAAGUCGGGAGCCUGUACAGGUGCUGCAUGGCUGUCGUCAGCUCGUGUCGUGAGAUGUUGGGUUAAGUCCCGCAACGAGCGCAACCAUUGCCUUUUGUUGCCACCUUGUUUUAUCGAAAGAUGAGAUGAGAGCACUCUAAAGGGACUGCCUGGGAUAACCAGGAGGAAGGUGGAGAUGACGUCAAGUCAGUACGGCCCUUAUGCCCUGGGCUACACACGUGUUACAAUGGUCGAGACAAAGAGUUGCCAACCCGCGAGGGGGAGCUAAUCUCUAAAACUCGGCCUCAGUUCAGAUUGUAGUCUGCAAUUCGACUACAUGAAGCCGGAAUCGCUAGUAAUGGAAGAUCAGCACGCUUCCGUGAAUACGUUCCCGGGCCUUGUACACACCGCCCGU